rnacentral:rRNA from 1 species
GAUGAACGCUGGCGGCGUGCUUAACACAUGCAAGUCGAACGGUGAACACGGAGCUUGCUCUGUGGGAUCAGUGGCGAACGGGUGAGUAACACGUGAGCAACCUGCCCCUGACUCUGGGAUAAGCGCUGGAAACGGCGUCUAAUACUGGAUAUGUGACGUGAUCGCAUGGUCUGCGUCUGGAAAGAAUUUCGGUUGGGGAUGGGCUCGCGGCCUAUCAGCUUGUUGGUGAGGUAAUGGCUCACCAAGGCGUCGACGGGUAGCCGGCCUGAGAGGGUGACCGGCCACACUGGGACUGAGACACGGCCCAGACUCCUACGGGAGGCAGCAGUGGGGAAUAUUGCACAAUGGGCGCAAGCCUGAUGCAGCAACGCCGCGUGAGGGACGACGGCCUUCGGGUUGUAAACCUCUUUUAGCAGGGAAGAAGCGAAAGUGACGGUACCUGCAGAAAAAGCGCCGGCUAACUACGUGC